rnacentral:rRNA from 1 species
UACGGAGGGGGUUAGCGUUGUUCGGAAUGACUGGGCGUAAAGCGUGCGCAGGCGGUUUUGUAAGUCUGUCGUGAAAGCCCCGGGCUCAACCUGGGAAUUGCGAUGGAGACUGCAAGGCUUGAAUCUGGCAGAGGGGGGUAGAAUUCCACGUGUAGCAGUGAAAUGCGUAGAGAUGUGGAGGAACACCGAUGGCGAAGGCAGCCCCCUGGGUCAAGAUUGACGCUCAUGCACGAAAGCGUGGGGAGCAAACAGG